GAUGAACGCUGGCGGCGUGCCCAAUACAUGCAAGUCGAGCGAACGGACGAGAAGCUUGCUUCUCUGAUGUUAGCGGCGGACGGGUGAGUAACACGUGGAUAACCUACCUAUAAGACUGGGAUAACUUCGGGAAACCGGAGCUAAUACCGGAUGAUAUUUUGAACCGCAUGGUUCAAAAGUGAAAGACGGUCUUGCUGUCACUUAUAGAUGGAUCCGCGCUGCAUUAGCUAGUUGGUAAGGUAACGGCUUACCAAGGCAACGAUUCAUAGCCGACCUGGGAGGGUGAUCGGCCAAACGGGAACUGAGACACGGUCCAGACUCCUACGGGAGGAAGCAGUAGGGAAUCUUCCGCAAUGGGCGAAAGCCUGACGGAGCAAGGCCGCGUGAGUGAUGAAGGUCUUCGGAUCGUAAAACUCUGUUAUUGGGGAAGAACAUAUGUGUAAGUAACUGUGCACAUCUUGACGGUACCUAAUCAGAAAGCCACGGCUAACUACGUG
rnacentral:rRNA from 1 species